CAGAGCCACCCUCCCCCGCCAUCCGCCGCCUGGGUGUGUGCGGGGAGCCGGGGGGCGGGCAGGGCUCCCCCCUCCGCUCCCGGCCGGCCCGGGGAGCUCUGCCCGCCGCCCCCGAGAGGGCCGAGGGGACAAAAAACUCCCCCCAGGACCGGCCGGGGCUGCCCUUUGGAGCGCGCCGAGCUGCGCCGAGGCUCCCGCUGCCCCUCCGACAGCUCCGCAAACACCAGCGAAAACCCCGAAAAAAAAAAAAAAAGAAAACCGCAUUCUUCCUCGGCUUUCGGCCCCGUCCCGCAGCCCCGGGGGCGGGGGACACCCCGCUGUCCCCGGGACCCUCCCGCACACCCCGGGGGUCCCUGGCGCUGCUGCCGCCCCCCGCACGCCCCGCUCCGUCCCGGCGGCCGCUUUUUGCUUGGGGUCGAGCUGCAGCCCCUUUCCUCGGGGACGGAUCAGCCCCCUCCCAGGUCCCCAACCGCGGUGACUUACGGCGACGGGGCUUGCUUAUUUUUUUUUAAUUCCUUUUUAACCCGAAACUCUCCCCAAAUCUCUUUUUUUUUUUUUUUUUUUUUCCCCCCCAACAAACGGUACCACGGUGCCGGGCUCGCUGCGCAUCGCUUCCUGCGCCUCACCCGGCCCCGAAGCGUCAAAACUCUAACUUUUGGCACCGCCAAAAUCCCAAAGCCGAGCAAGGACGAAAGCCCCGCGGUGGUCUGUGGGGCCAGCCAAGCUCUCUGGGCUCCAGCGUCGCCGCCCGGUAACGAAUCCCAAAAGGCGGUGCGAGGGGUCGGCUCCCGUCCGUGCGCUCGGCGGCGAGCUGCGCUUGUCCUCGCCUCCUGCCGCGGAACGAAGCGGGGAGAGGUGAGCUCCCGGCACGGCGUCCCUGGGCACUUGGGGCUCGCUCCUUCCCCUCUUCAUUGGCAAGCCCGGCCCCAGCAGCACGCACGCUCCCGGCCACCCCGGUCUCGUUUCUCCGCUAGGAUAAUAUUGUUCCUAACGACGUGGCCGGAAUAG
rnacentral:lncRNA from 1 species